rnacentral:rRNA from 1 species
GUAGGUGGCAAGCGUUGUCCGGAAUUAUUGGGCGUAAAGCGCGCGCAGGCGGUCCUUUAAGUCUGAUGUGAAAGCCCACGGCUCAACCGUGGAGGGUCAUUGGAAACUGGGGGACUUGAGUGCAGAAGAGAAGAGUGGAAUUCCACGUGUAGCGGUGAAAUGCGUAGAGAUGUGGAGGAACACCAGUGGCGAAGGCGACUCUUUGGUCUGUAACUGACGCUGAGGCGCGAAAGCGUGGGGAGCAAACAGGAUUAGAUACCCUGGUAGUCCACGCCGUAAACGAUGAGUGCUAAGUGUUAGAGGGUUUCCGCCCUUUAGUGCUGCAGCAAACGCAUUAAGCACUCCCGCCCUGGGAGUACGGCCGCAAGGCUG